rnacentral:lncRNA from 1 species
GGAUGGUAAAGACGGGUUCCAGUUGGUAUGGAUGGUAAAGACGGGUUCCAGUUGGUAUGGGAGGGUAAGACGGGUUCCAGUUGGUAUGGAUGGUAAAGACGGUUCCAUUGUAUGGAUGGUAAGCGGGUUCAGUGGUAUGGAUGUAAAGACGGGUUCCAGUUGUAGGAGGGUAAGACGGUUCCAGUUGGUAAUGGAUGGUUCCAGUUGGUAUGGAUGGUAAAGACAGUUGGUAUGGAUGGUUCCGUUGGUAUGGAUGGUAAAGACAGUUGGUAUGGAUGGUAAGACGGGUUCCAGUUGUAUGGAUGGUAAAGACGGGUUCCAGUUGUAUGGUGGUAAAGACGGGUUCCAGUUGGUAUGGAUGGGUUCCGUUGGUAGGGAUGGUAAAGACAGUUGGUAUGAAUGGUUCCAGUUGGUAUGGAUGGUAAGACAGUUUGGUAUGGAUGGUAAAGACAGUUGGUAUGGAUGGUAAAGACAGGUUCCAGUUGGUAUGGAUGGAAAGACAAUUGGUAAGGGUGGGUAAAGACAGGGUUCCAGUUGGUAUGGAUGUGUUCCAGUUGGUAUGGAUGGUAAAGACAGGUUCCAGUUGGUAGGGAUGGUAAAGACAGUUCCAGUUGGUAUGGAUGGUAAGACGGUUCAGUUGGUUGGAUGUAAAGACAGGUUCCAGUUGGUAGGAGGGUAAAGACAGGUUCCAGUGGAUGGAUGGUAAAGACAGGUCCAGUUGGUAUGGAUGGUAAAGACCAGUUGGUAUGGAUGGUAAAGACAGGUUCCAGUUGGUAUGGAUGGUUCCGU